rnacentral:rRNA from 1 species
AUGGCUCAGAUUGAACGCUGGCGGUAUGCUUAACACAUGCAAGUCGAACGGUAACAGGCCUUCGGGCGCUGACGAGUGGCGGACGGGUGAGUAACGCGUAGGAAUCUGCCUCAUAGUGGGGGACAACGUGGGGAAACUCACGCUAAUACCGCAUACGCCUACGGGGGAAAGCGGGGAUCUUCGGACCUCGCGCUAUGAGAUGAGCCUGCGUUAGAUUAGCUAGUUGGUAGGGUAAAGGCCUACCAAGGCGACGAUCUAUAGCUGGUCUGAGAGGACGAUCAGCCACACUGGGACUGAGACACGGCCCAGACUCCUACGGGAGGCAGCAGUGGGGAAUAUUGGACAAUGGGCGCAAGCCUGAUCCAGCAAUACCGCGUGUGUGAAGAAGGCCCUAGGGUUGUAAAGCACUCUCAAUUGGGAGGAAAACCUGUCGGUCAAUACCCGGCAGCUUGACAUUACCUUUAGAAGAAGCACCGGCUAACUCCGUG